rnacentral:rRNA from 1 species
CGUGUAGGCGGGUUUGUAAGUUGGAAGUGAAAUCCUAUGGCUCAACCAUAGAACUGCUUCCAAAACUGCUUACCUAGAAUAUGGGAGAGGUAGAUGGAAUUUCUGGUGUAGGGGUAAAUCCGUAGAGAUCAGAAGGAAUACCGAUUGCGAAGGCGAUCUACUGGAACAUUAUUGACGCUGAGACGCGAAAGCGUGGGGAGCAAACA